rnacentral:lncRNA from 1 species
AUGGGGAGGGAACCGCAGGACCCAGUCUGUGGGGCGGGGGCUCCAGCCGAGACCCCUUUGUGCCAGUGCAAUGAUAUUUUUGCUGCAAUUAUUUACCCACUGCCCCAUUCCAGGGCUCCUGGGGGGUCUUGCACAAUCCCAACGCCGCCAAUUUGGCCACGGGCUCCGAGCUGUGCAAAAUUCCACAUCCCUCGUGCCACUCCAGCCUGGAAAGUGACACACAGGAACCAGUCUGUGCCUUCUGUGCCCAGCCCUGAGCACCCCAAACCUCUGCCCCAGCUCUCCCAGCCAGGCCUGGCACUGCCCAGCUGCUCCUGGCACUGCCCAGCCAUUCCUGGCACUGCCCAGCACAUCCUGGCACUGUCCAGCCCAUCCUGGCACUGUCCAGUCAGGUCUGGCACUGCCCAGCCAUUCCUGGCACUGCCCAGCCCGUCCUGGCACUGUCCAGCCAUUCCUGGCACUGCCCAGCCCAUCCUAGCACUGCCCAGCUGCUCCUGGCACUGUCCAGUCAGGUCUGGCACUGCCCAGCUGCUCCUGGCACUGCCCAGCCAUUCCUGGCACUGCCCAGCCCAUCCUGGCACUGCCCAGCUGCUCCUGGCACUGUCCAGUCAGGUCUGGCAGUGCCCAGCCCGUCCUGGCACUGCCCACUCAGAUCUGGCACUGCCCAGUCCGUCCUGGCACUGCCCAGCCCGUCCUGGCACUGUCCAGCCAUUCCUGGCACUGCCCAGCCCAUCCUGGCACUGCCCAGUCAGGUCUGGCACUGCCCAGCCGGUCCUGGCACUGCCCAGCCCGUCCUGGUGCUGGCACAAGCGAUGCUCACCCCCAGACCACUGGAAAAGCCAACCUCGGGCUCCAGCGGGUGCCCCUCGGGGCCAGUCAGAGCCAGUUCCUGCCCAGUCUGUGCCCAUUCCCUUCCCAGUCCCUGCCCGUUCCCUGCCCGUGCCCGUUCCGCACCCGUUUCCUGCCCGGCCCCGCCGAAGGAUGUUUGGGAAGCUGCGGGAUCAGGGCCGGGACUUUGUGCCUCCCUCAAUGAGCAGAGCCCGGCUGGGCUCCGCGCCUGCCGGGGCCGGGGGCAGCAGAGCCCGGCCG